rnacentral:rRNA from 1 species
UGGGGAAUAUUGGACAAUGGGCGAAAGCCUGAUCCAGCAAUGCCGCGUGAGUGAUGAAGGCCUUAGGGUUGUAAAGCUCUUUUACCCGGGAUGAUAAUGACAGUACCGGGAGAAUAAGCCCCGGCUAACUCCGUGCCAGCAGCCGCGGUAAUACGGAGGGGGCUAGCGUUGUUCGGAAUUACUGGGCGUAAAGCGCGCGUAGGCGGCUUUGUAAGUCAGAGGUGAAAGCCUGGAGCUCAACUCCAGAACUGCCUUUGAAACUACAUCGCUAGAAUCGUGGAGAGGUAAGUGGAAUUCCGAGUGUAGAGGUGAAAUUCGUAGAUAUUCGGAAGAACACCAGUGGCGAAGGCGACUUACUGGACACGUAUUGACGCUGAGGUGCGAAAGCGUGGGGAGCAAACAGG